rnacentral:rRNA from 1 species
AUGCCGCCGCCCAUUUUUGCCGGCGACUCUUCCAGCUGCCGCCGCCUCCACAUCCGCCCAGCAACGCCGCCCCUCCCCCCAUCGCCCUCCGCCGCCGUUUUGCCGCCGGCCCCACCGCACAGCCGCCCGCGACCAAGAAGCCGCCUCGCCGCCCCUGCCACAUCCGACCGGCACGCUCGUCGGACGCCGGCAGGGCAGCUAGCGGGUCUGUGGGCGCCGCGACUCCCCUCGCCGGCCGUCUCCUUCUUCAACGCCCGCAAGCUGUUUGACAGUUUGCCAAGGUACGAAAUGGACUCCGCUGACGAGUUCUUUUUUCACAAUUUCCUUUGUAACUCCGACGAUUCGUCGUCCGACGACGAAGAGGAGAUAUUGACUGCCGUGUUGGUCCAUCACCACCUCAACAGCCAGCGGCCGUUGUUCCGUGGCUCCAUUCCGGGCCACCUUCCGGCGUUGAAUAGCAACUGUUCGGUAACCUGCUAA